AAAGUCGUAACAAGGUAACCGUAGGUGAACCUGCGGUUGGAUCAUUACAAAAUUGGUAUCUUACCAAACACUGUGUGCACCAUAACUGUUCUUGGCAGCGUAUUGGAUGGGUCAGGUAAUACUGAUCUGUCGAUCGCUGCCGCAUGUCCAAACAUUGUAUUACAAAAUUUUAGUCUGAAUCAGUUCACCACAAAGUGAAAUGAAAAACAACUUUUGACAACGGAUCUCUUGGCUCUC
rnacentral:misc_RNA from 1 species